UGGGGAAUAUUGCACAAUGGAGGGAACUCUGAUGCAGCGACGCCGCGUGAACGAAGAAGGCUUUCGAGUCGUAAAGUUCUUUUAUAUGGGAAGAUAAUGACGGUACCUACAGAAGAAGCAACGGCUAAAUACGUGCCAGCAGCCGCGGUAAUACGUAUGUUGCGAGCGUUAUCCGGAAUUAUUGGGCUUAAAGGGCAUCUAGGCGGUAAGACAAGUUGAAGGUGAAAACCUGUGGCUCAACCAUAGGCUUGCCUACAAAACUGUUGAACUAGAGUACUGGAAAGGUGGGUGGAACUACACGAGUAGAGGUGAAAUUCGUAGAUAUGUGUAGGAAUGCCGAUGAUGAAGAUAACUCACUGGACAGAAACUGACGCUGAAGUGCGAAAGCUAGGGGAGCAAACAGG
rnacentral:rRNA from 1 species